UUGGUUUAUCACCGAUAAGUUAUCAUUCGAUAACGGUCACCUUGAGUGCAAUAAAUCUUAUCGCUUCAUGCAUUUUUUCACGGUUUAUCGGAAAAAAAUAAACAAUAAUGCUGUAUCACUGCGGAAAACAAUCAUUUAAAGGUCAUGUUAAGGCUAUGUCACACGGCGAGCAAGAGCGGCAAUCUUCGUGCAGCGUGUGUGCCUAUACUUAACUCAUUACUCGGCGCGGAGAUUGUCAAUCCACGCUUUGUGUAAUGGAGUUUUUACACUCAAUGUCAAUCUCCACGCCCGUCUUCGCCAUGAAAACAAGCCAAAGCAUGCGUUAGGACGCGCCUUUCCGCUCCACGCGGCGCCGAACCCGUUACAUGGCGCGUGAAGCAACAAUCCACGCGCGGCAUAUGCACUGCCCAAGAUUGUAAUACUGUUCGUGACAACUUCCGACUUGUUCCGAUGGUAAUCGUUUGUUGUUGACCAAAAAUCAUGUUAUAUAGGAACGUGAUUUUUAUGGACUGCUACCUACAAUUCUCUCCUUUCAAUACGCGUGUGUUGUUUCAAAAUAUGGUGCUGUGCAUAAACUAGAGAUGCAGCGGAUAGUGAUUUUGCUGGGUAUCAGAUACACGGAUUACCUAUUCCGGGUACCCAGCCAGAUACCCAGCAAAAUCACUACGGUUAAUGGUGCAUAUCUUCGUUCAGGCGAGAUGUUCAUUAAAAUUCACCCUCACUAACGUCCCAAAGCAAUUAUUGAGUCCCGUUCAAAAAGUCGUUUAAGCACAUGAAAAUUAGCUCUUGGUGGACGGAUUUUCAAUGAGAAGGUUGAGAAUUACCCGCAGUGCCUCGGUACUCGGAGCCAUCAGCCGUAUCCUAAAAAAAGUGCCUGGUCCGAACAAGAUCAAGCGCAGUCCCACUUUUAUGGGCACGAUGGGUAAGAUGUGAACCUGGGUAUCGACUAAAUUAUCGACGUUUUCGCGAAUAAGAAACGUAAGCUUGAAUUUGUAAUUUAAAUAAACUCCUAAAUAAAGGGUAAAAUAUG